rnacentral:rRNA from 1 species
GGGUCAGUAGGUUGGUCGUGCCACCGGUACGUACUGGUCUCACUGAUUCCUCCUUCCUGAAGAACCGUAAUGCCAUUAAUUUGGUGUUGCGGGGAAACAGGACUGUUACUUUGAAAAAAUUAGAGUGUUUAAAGCAAGCUAACGCUUGAAUACAUUAGCAUGGAAUAAUGAAAUAGGACGAUCGAUCCUAUUUUGUUGGUUUCCAGGAUUGACGCA